GUCCACACGGUAAACGAUGGAUACUCGCUGUUGGCGAUAUACGGUCAGCGGCUUAGCGAAAGCGUUAAGUAUCCCACCUGGGGAGUACGCCGGCAACGGUGAAACUCAAAGGAAUUGACGGGGGCCCGCACAAGCGGAGGAACAUGUGGUUUAAUUCGAUGAUACGCGAGGAACCUUACCCGGGCUUAAAUUGCAAAGGAAUAAUCUGGAAACAGAUUAGUCUUCGGACCUUUGUGAAGGUGCUGCAUGGUUGUCGU
rnacentral:rRNA from 1 species